UUCUUCGGGGCGGGGUGUGAUUCCCCACCGGCGGUGACAGUCCGCGACCUGCUUUGGUAUACCAGAGCAGCUGACCCGGUGAGAUUCCGGGACCGACAGUAUAGUCUGGAUGAGAGAAGAA
rnacentral:ncRNA from 1 species